UAAAUGAGUUCAGAACUUUAAGCCCCCUUUUGCGCAUGCGCAUAUCAUCUUCGCGGGCAUUACUAAUUAGCAUAACGUCUUCCUGCAGGAGCGCACCGCAUCAGCAGGAACCGAGAAGCAGUUUGGAGUUCGGUCUUUGACGACGAGAGGUCGUUGAACAGAGGCCUAUGAUGGAGGAAAUCAGAAACCAGUGACCUGCCCUGUUCCAGCAGAGUGAAAUUAAUGAGGAGUUCUUGCAGAUCACUACAAAGCCACUGCAGUCAAAAUGUAUAAAAAUCUGGACCACAUUUUAUUCAAGCUGAUGCAGAUCUUCAAAAGCAAAAGUGAAGUGAAGGGGCA